UACGUAGGGUGCGAGCGUUGUCCGGAAUUAUUGGGCGUAAAGAGCUCGUAGGCGGCUUGUUGCGUCGGAUGUGAAAGCUCGGGGCUUAACUCCGGGUCGGCAUUCGAUACGGGCAGGCUAGAGUGUGGUAGGGGAGAUCGGAAUUCCUGGUGUAGCGGUGGAAAUGCGCAGAUAUCAGGAGGAACACCGGUGGCGAAGGCGGGUCUCUGGGCAGUAACUGACGCUGAGGAGCGAAAGCGUGGGGAGCGAACAGG
rnacentral:rRNA from 1 species